rnacentral:snRNA from 1 species
GUGCUCGCUUCAGCAGUACGUAUACUAGAAUUGGAAUGAUACAGAGAAGAUUAGCGUGGCCCCUGCACAAGGAUGACAUGCAAAUUCAUGAAGUGUUUCCUAUUUUU